rnacentral:tmRNA from 1 species
UCACUUCACAUUGACGCGCGAGACCCUAUAUAGGGCGUGCCGGUUUCGACCGGCUAUGGUGAUAAACUGCGGUGUGCAAUAGACACAACGGACCCGGGGGCAGUACCCGGCGGCUCCACCAAAACGCCCGGAAAUCCGGGAAUUUUGACGGGGCCGAACUAGGAUCGACGUGUGUUGAAAAGCAUCGUUUUCGCCCGGGCUGAGUAACCCGCAUAAGGCUCAUCUUUAUAAGUGCAAACGAUAACGAAGCACUCGCAAUUGCAGCGUAAUUGAUGGCCUAAGGGCCUGACAUUACUACGUAAAAGCGCGGUUGGACCCACCGGGCAACAGAAGGGAUACCGGGGCUCCGGGGGUAGCUAGCAACAGAAACCCCCAUU